CGUAGGAGAAGCCGAUGGAGAUGAAGGAGCCCAGGACCACCGCCCAGCCCCAGCCCCCGUCUGGCGGGGUGACGACCGGAGGACCUCCUGCAGGGGGCGGCAUCUCUGGCCCAGCUCGACCUUAAACUGGACAAAAAACAGGAACCAUUGCAUCCUCAAACCACUGACGCCAUCCAAAAGGUUUUGGAUGGUGAUGCUCUGCACUUUCGAGACAACAGCAUGUCCAGUGCAAUAGGUGGCGGUGGACACCAGAGGCCUACCAUCUUAGUUCAGACUCCAGGAAGGAAAAAGCGAGUCAGAGACAGAAGCCCACCGGCAGAACACCGCCUGUUUCCUUCCAGUCCCACCAGGUGGCGCUCUGCGGGCCAAUGCUCUUCACCCUUGGAUGAGUUACCGUCAAUUUUUUGUCGUGCAACCACUUUUCACGUACAUAAUAAUGCAUGACUUGGCAAAACAAAUAUGAGCCUGCAGAUAGCGACACAACCAAAGAGGCAAAUAAGCAGCUAAAGAAAACUUAACCUAAACUCUCAGGCCGCUGUGGCACUGUUGACUAAAGUGCUUAACCUGAAUUGCUGGGCCAAACCAAAUGGCCCAUACUGCUGCUCUCGUGACCCGAUCCAGAAGCAGUAAUGUUUGUUCCUCCGAAACCUUUCUCCUAAGAAAGCCUAGCGUGGAACACAUUAUUAACCAGGAAACGGUCACUCUCGAGCUCUCACACUAGCCAGGACUGCAAUAUCUUCGGGCUCUAAAUUCAUUGUAGGCUCUUGAGGCAAAUUCAAAGUGGGAAAUUGAGGGGGGGUACCCAUCUGUCCAGCACCAGUUGGUAAAGGCGACGAGUUUCUGCACCGAGUCCCCCGCUGCUUUCUGAGCAGCCCCAGCCGGCCCAAGAUCAGAGAGACGGUCAUCGUGCCAAACGGGAACGUGGAUCAGGAGGCGGGACUUCACCGAGAAAGCGUUCCAAAAUAAGCAAUGCAACCCACCCACCGCGCCGCUGACCUCAAACCCAAUCUGGCAACCCAAUCUGGCAACCCCGGCUGAGCAGCCUUCCUGCUUGCCCCUCUGGGAAGUUUCCCCUUUGUUCAAAGACACAGCAACAAUUAGUCACUCAAGUCUGUGGACAACCCCCCACCCCCCGGUCACAAGACCAGCACAAGUGCAGAUGGCCGCCUGCUUCUCCCAGCCAAGGUUGAACAGAGGAAACCCGGUCACCUGACCGCAUGUUGCCUAAGGCCCAACAGGAUUUCAGCUGGAUCAGGAGGUCUCAGAACGUCUGGCACAACAGCAUAAACUUGCACAGGUGAGAAAAGCAGGGAAGCACGGCUGAAGCCACCAGAAGAGCAGAAAACGCUCGAUUGACCAAGAACGAGCCUCAAGCUAUUUACAAAGCAAACAAGCGUGGCUUCAUCGUGUACAGAAUACUGCGCGUGCAGGUUGAGACCAAAUUUCCAAAUCUCAAAACCAUAUACACCUGCGGGAUUAGAUUUCAAAAUUAAUUUUUUCAAGAAAAAUGUCCUUUAAAAACAAAAAUCUGCAUUAUGUUCUUAUUCUAAAGAUAUUUACACUAUAAUAUUGUCUGAAUGUUGUUAAAACUGUAAGGCCGCAAAUUAACAAAAAAACAUGAAUAUGGUUAGUUUUACAGGUCAUGCAAAGCGAUGGUAACAGAUAGGCAGAAUUAAUAUAGGAAGCUUUGAGAUGUGUACAGUGUCCAAAGUCAGUUACAUGGAACUGUCCAUUUAAAAUGUAGAAUCUAGACAUUUGUUCUCAGAGUGCAGUUUAAUUAAACAGUGUGUACAUUAAAGGUUUAA